CUUGGUUGGAUCUGUUUAUGAAAAACAAGGAACCCCCUUUUACCUUUGUCUGCUCCCAUUUCCAAGCAGGCAGCACUGAGCGACCAGCAGACGGCUCGUACCGCUGAGAGCUCGGUGCCAGCUCUCGCAGUGCAAGAGCAGCCUCCUGCCGAUGUCUGUUCUCAGCAAAAUUACUGACAGUUUGGUCGGGCACAGAGUCCAAAGCAGCAUUUCCCCACCAAGAUUCACGUGCCUUUGGUCAGGAGCGUCACCCCAGCACGGGGGUUUAUGCCGUAUGAGCAGGAGGGAGCACAAAGACGAGGCAGCAGGAGGGAAUAUACUCCUUUACGUGAGCGGUAAUAAUAUGAUCAUACCACCAAGUACGUAAAGAAAGAUGUAAUGAAGAGACAAAAUAUAUUUAACGGAGAAGACAUAGCGGAAGAAUAAUCACAUAAAUGGCACCGGCAACAGGAAGACGGGGCUGCCAUGCCUUCCAGAGCACCAGAUGCCCACAGCCACCUGCAAAAGGACAGCAGCACAGUGGCGCUCGGGGUCGGAGGAGAAAUGUGGCUGACACACAGCCCUGUGUCUGCUCAGUGCAGAUCUGGGCAUACAUCUGCCUCCUCUUGAGGCUGUGUUUCAUGGAGGACUGCCCUCACUCUGGCACUGUGGCCCUCCAACUGAAGAGAUUUAAAUCCUGGUACGACUUUGGAUCUCCGUUAUGUGCUGACUCCCAGGAAGGGCACAGCUCCCAGAGGGCUCUCACACCUCCCAAGUGUUUCUUACUCAGCAUGCUGGCUGCUGUAAAUCCUGCUCUCCAUUUGCUCAAAUGGGCUGACUUGGCUGGAUCCCUCUGCACCCUCACCUCACCAGAAGACGUGCUCAGGCACAGGCUUUGCAAUGGUGAUACAUGAGAAACAACGUCAGAAAGCCAAUCCUACCCUCCAGCGUGGGGCUGGCCAACCUGUGACACUUAGCUUCACGAUGGUGAUAAGCAGAUUAAGUAUGGCUCCCAUGCUCGAACUACAUCACACGUCUGGCACCAGGACUGUGCUGCUGGAAAACCUGGAUAAUUCAGAUCUUCAGCCAUAGGAAGCUGUAAGUCAGCAGGAACUGCCCAAAAUGGUAUUUCAGGACCCUGCUGGCAUACAGUUGCAUGCUCCAUUCAGUCCAUAUCAGGUGAUGCAAAACUGAGAUACCCCUGGGCAGCUUCCAGCAACUUACACCUGCAAACUUCUGUCUCUGAGGUAUGGAGCAGCCCAGAGCCCCUGAGCCACAGGACAUGUGGGUGUGGGUCCUGUGAACUGGGGGGCAAGUUCACAGGACCCAGCAGUGUUGUGUGCCUCCUCCUGCACAACAGCUCCCACCCCCGACACCUCAGCAAAGCUGUGCCUGCUGCCCCGAGGGAUCUGGGGAAAUGAACGUCUGCACUACAUUGCUAGCACAGAUUCACUAUAAAAACUCCAUGUCAUGUCUGAGUUGAGCCACAUAAAAAGCAAAGGAAAGAUAGCGGCAGUUUUGGUAAACUUGAUUAAAGAAAUUACUGUGGGCUGAGCGAUACUGAAUAAAGCUGGGACAGGAUGAAAGAUGUGAGAAAUGGAGUUUUCCUUUCCUCCCUUUAACCCUCCUCCCUUUUUUCAAAGUGAGCUUGACCUAGUGUGACUCCUAGCAGUUACCUGCUGGGCGCACAUCAGAUAUGUAUCAGUAACUGGAGAAUGAGGGAUAAGUCUCAGGCCACGGAAAAGAAACCAAAAUGAAAGCCUUGCCAUUAAGAAUAUUAAUAUUAGGACUGUUUGAGUUCAGACAGUUACAGACUGGAAGGCUCAGUUGCCACCCAUAGUUUGUGUAAGCAGGAAUAUCAUCAAUCCAUCCUGUGAAAACCAGUACUUCAGCUGGCAGAGUGGGAAGAGAAGAGCGAGAGAAAGAGAGGGCUUUUGUCUCAGGUUACAAGUCUGAGGGCUUGGAGAAACCCUACUACCUCUCUUUUUUUUUUUUUUUUUAUUUUCCUGUAGAAAACAAAUAAAACGAAACAGAAGGCAAAAAACCCCAACAACAUAGCAACAUGACAGUGAUGUGUAUAAUGAUCUCUGGCAGCCUAAGAUAAGAUCACAGCCCUUGGGACUGGUGGAGCCUGGAGCUAACAGACCCCUGCUUUGGGGAAAAACUAGAGGCGGACAGAAAAAAAGUCCCGUUCUCAUAUUAAAAAGGAAGGAG
ensembl:lncRNA